AACGAACGCUGGCGGCAGGCUUAACACAUGCAAGUCGAGCGCCCCGCAAGGGGAGCGGCCGACGGGUGAGUAACGCGUGGGAACGUACCUUUUGGUUCGGAACAACUCCGGGAAACUGGAGCUAAUACCGGAUAAGCCCUAACGGGGAAAGAUUUAUCGCCGAAAGAUCGGCCCGCGUCUGAUUAGCUAGUUGGUGAGGUAACGGCUCACCAAGGCGACGAUCAGUAGCUGGUCUGAGAGGAUGAUCAGCCACACUGGGACUGAGACACGGCCCAGACUCCUACGGGAGGCAGCAGUGGGGAAUAUUGGACAAUGGGCGCAAGCAUGAUCCAGCCAUGCCGCGUGAGUGAUGAAGGCCUUAGGGUUGUAAAGCUCUUUUGUCCGGGAAGAUAAUGACUGUACCGGAAGAAUAAGCCCAGGCUAACUUCGUG
rnacentral:rRNA from 1 species